rnacentral:rRNA from 1 species
CUGGCUCAGGAUGAACGCUGGCGGCGUGCUUAACACAUGCAAGUCGAACGGAGUUAAAUGAACCUAGUGAUUUAAACUUAGUGGCGGACGGGUGAGUAACGCGUGGGUAACCUGCCUUAUACCGGGGGACAACAGUUAGAAAUGACUGCUAAUACCGCAUAAGCGCACGGUGUCGCAUGACACAGUGUGAAAAACUCCGGUGGUAUAAGAUGGACCCGCGUCUGAUUAGCCAGUUGGUGAGGUAACGGCCCACCAAAGCAACGAUCAGUAGCCGGCCUGAGAGGGUGAACGGCCACAUUGGGACUGAGACACGGCCCAAACUCCUACGGGAGGCAGCAGUGGGGAAUAUUGGACAAUGGGGGAAACCCUGAUCCAAGCGACGCCGCGUGAGUGAAGAAGUAUUUCGGUAUGUAAAGCUCUAUCAGCAAGGAAGAUAAUGACGGUACUUGACUAAGAAGCCCCGGCUAACUACGUGCCAGCCGCCGC